ACCCGCUGAACUUAAGCAUAUCAAUAAGCGGAGGAAAAGAAACCAACAGGGAUUGCCCUAGUAACGGCGAGUGAAGCGGCAACAGCUCAAAUUUGAAAUCUGGCGCAAGCCCGAGUUGUAAUUUGUAGAGGAUGUUUCUGGCGACGUGCCUUCCGAGUUCCCUGGAACGGGACGCCAUAGAGGGUGAGAGCCCCGUACGGUUGGAUGCCUAGCCUCUGUGAAACUCCUUCGACGAGUCGAGUAGUUUGGGAAUGCUGCUCUAAAUGGGAGGUAUACGUCUUCUAAAGCUAAAUACCGGCCAGAGACCGAUAGCGCACAAGUAGAGUGAUCGAAAGAUGAAAAGCACUUUGAAAAGAGGGUUAAAAAGUACGUGAAAUUGUUGAAAGGGAAGCGUUCAUGACCAGACUUGGGCAGGUUGAUCAUCCGUGGUUCUCCGCGGUGCACUCUGCCUGCCCAGGCCAGCAUCAGUUCGCCCCGGGGGAUAAAGGCUUUGGGAAUGUGGCUCCCUCGGGAGUGUUAUAGCCCACUGUGUAAUACCCUGGGGUGGACUGAGGUUCGCGCUCUGCAAGGAUGCUGGCGUAAUGGUCAUCAACGACCCGUCUUGAAACACGG
rnacentral:rRNA from 1 species